rnacentral:rRNA from 1 species
CGGACGUGGGGAACCUGCCCUAUACAGGGGGAUAACAGCUGGAAACGGCUGCUAAUACCGCAUAAGCGCACAGAAUCGCAUGAUUCAGUGUGAAAAGCCCUGGCAGUAUAGGAUGGUCCCGCGUCUGAUUAGCUGGUUGGUGAGGUAACGGCUCACCAAGGCGACGAUCAGUAGCCGGCUUGAGAGAGUGAACGGCCACAUUGGGACUGAGACACGGCCCAA